rnacentral:rRNA from 1 species
GCAUAUCAAUAAGCGGAGGAAAAGAAAAUAACAAUGAUUCCCUUAGUAACGGCGAGUGAAGGGGGAUAAGCUCAAAUUUUAAAUCUACCAGGUUAACCUGGUCGAGUUGUAAUUUGAAGAAGCGUUUUCCGCGUCUCGGUUGACCCAAAUCCUUUGGGAUAUGGUAUCAUGGAGGGUGAGAAUCCCGUUCGGUUGACCUUAUGACGCUUUACGAUACGUUUUCUAAGAGUCGAGUUGUUUGGGAUUGCAGCUCAAAAUGGGAGGUAAAUUUCUCCUAAGGCUAAAUAUUGGCGAGAGACCGAUAGCGAACAAGUACCGUGAGGGAAAGAUGAAAAGAACUUUGAAAAGAGAGUAAAAUAGUACGUGAAAUUGUUGAAAGGGAAACGAUUGAAGUCAGUCGUACCGACGGAAAAUCAGCUCUUUAGUGCGGACUUGUGGGCUUACGUGAGUUUUAACACCUCGCUGUUUGCAACGUUCGUGCUUUUUGGGUGUACUUUUUCGUAUGGUAGGCCAAUGUCAGUUUCGAUUGCUAUAAAAUGACCGGCGGAAUGUAGCUUCGAUCUUGUAUUGAAGUGUUAUAGCCUCUGGUAGAUGUGGUGAUCGGGACUGAGGAUUGCAACGAAUACCUUUUGGGCUAUCCGUCUGAUCUCUGAAGGUUGCUUAGGUGCCGAAAGCGUGCUUACGGUUAUUUAAGUUGACAGUCAAAAGGUUAGAACGGAUUAUAUUCGUUAAGGAUGUUGACGUA